rnacentral:rRNA from 1 species
UACGUAGGGAGCAAGCGUUGUCCGGAAUCAUUGGGCGUAAGCGCACGUAGGCGACCCUGUAAGUCCGCUGUGAAAGUCAAAGGCUCAACCUUUGAAAGCCGGUGGAUACUGCAGGGCUAGAGUCCGGAAGAGGCGAGUGGAAUUCCUGGUGUAGCGGUGGAAUGCGCAGAUAUCAGGAGGAACACCAAUAGCGAAGGCAGCUCGCUGGGACGGUACUGACGCUGAGGAGCGAAAGCGUGGGAGCAAACAGG